rnacentral:tRNA from 1 species
GUGGAGGGAUGGCUCAGGGGUUAAGAGCACUGACUGCUCCUCCAGUGGUCCUGAGUUCAAUUCCCAGCAACCACA